CGAUCAGCAUUAUCAGUGAUGGAGCCACCAAAGAAGAGAAGAUCAGGGACAUAAACAGAGUACUUUUUAGUCAAGGCACCAACUUGGAAUUGCCAAGUGACAAUGCCUUCAGCAGCAAAGCCAUGUACAAGAACAACGACAGGGCUGCACCCCAGCCAGCUUCAUCAGCCCAUAAAACAAUGGCCUCUGUGCUGCCACAAGGUUCACCAUCUCUUUUACUGGUUAGUUUCCCUUUUCCCCCUUAAUGUAUUGUAAUCUUAGCUUCUUCUCUUCAGUGAUUAUAAAGACAGUGAGAGGCUUUAAAUUAAACAAAGAAAUGCAAGUUUGGUGGGUGGUUGUUAUCUGUUGCCACAACUCGAGAAGCUUUUGCAUUUUUUAUAGUAAGGAAAUUUGCAGUUGGAGAAAUUUCAAUAGGUCUGUCUAGUAUAUUUGCAUAUAAUACAUGAAUUUAGCUUGCACGAAAGCUUACAAUCUUUUGCUUAUUUUAAGCUCAGAUUUGGUGUAAUUAGCAAUUGGUUUUGGGUUUAGAAAGGUUUUGGAAUUGUUGACUUGAGAGGUUUGAAUAGUUCAUGUCUAAGGUGGUUUGAUUUUGAUCACCUGCACUA